CUUCUGUCAAGGCCGGUGUCUCCUCGGAUCCGGGUCCCCCUCUGUACACGGGAGGGGCCUGGCUGUCACAAUGACACCCUUUUGGGUGUGCGGGGAAAACACGGCUGAAUGUUAAAUAAACACGCGCUAAUUACCCUGAGAAUAUUUAUUGAGGUUUUCCCACGUUGUAAUAAGAAAUUAUUGAAACAUAUAUCACCCACCGAGCUGUUAAUCAUUGGUAAAUAUAUUUUAAAUACAGCAGUCCAUUAGUAUUUUAAUUUAGCCUGUCUCCUGGAGAAUAUGUGCUGUAUGAGACAAAUGUCUCCAGCUCCAGAGCCAAGGGAAAAAUUUCCUCACCUAGUUAAUCUUUAUGUUUUCCUCUCAGGGAGGAAAUCCCGGCUGCACCAGCAAAAGAAAUGUUCCCUGGGGUCCAGUAUUGAUGUAUGGUCGUGUCACCUUGUGCUCAUUAGCAGCAUCCUCACUCAGAUGAAAGCCAUGUCUGUGGUUCAGGAGGAAAUGUUUCCUCUUCAGACAAAGCGCUGA
rnacentral:lncRNA from 1 species